GUUUUAGUAUAAGAAUGUCCCAUGUAAUAUUUGGAAUAUCCUUAUACUAAAA
rnacentral:pre_miRNA from 1 species